UUUAAAUUAAUAACUGAAAUCUAUUCUUUUUUUCUCUAGUCAUCUUUUAUAUGGUAGCUGGCUACUUUGUAUCACAAAUAUCUGGAAGAUAAAUUUUCAGAGCAUGAAACGUUCCUUUCAUCCUCUAUCCAUGCUGAAGAUCAUACAUCCAGGUCAAUGUUAACAUAAUAAUCUGUAUGUACAGUCAGGGAAGCAAUCAGAAGGAACUACCUGCCUAUCAGGAAGAGAUAUGUGGAAUUUUCCUUGAAAUUUGUGCAUGGUGAAGGGUUUCAACUAUGCAGGCUGCACACUGAGGUUCAGUCCCUGUGUUCUUGCCUUUUCUGAAUCACACUGAGUACUGCCCAAGCCUGAUGUGCUGUGUUGUUUGCCUGUUAGCCAUCCUUUGAGGCAACAUCUGAACCAAGUUACUUCACUGAGAGCUUGGUAUUGCUCUCAGUAGGUACCAGCACCAGUAGAAGGGCACAGAGCUGCCUACAUGGCAGGGGCACAGCAUCUCUUUUCAGAAGAAAACAUCUUUUUCCAGCUGCAACAGCUACAAAUUUGCCAAUCUCAGGAGAAGCGAGGUUUAUAUCCCUUCCUAACUUAAAACAAAUCCUGUUUAACUGAGUUUAAAGCACACUUACUGCCAGUAUAAAUGCAUGAUCUUUUUCAAAUCCUACUAAAUCACUGGUCUCAGUGAAUUUUCUGGCAAGGAAAAAGCCAACGGAAACAUAGUGCAGAUUAGGAUGUGAAAGAAUGGUCUCAUGGACCAGGCAAUAGAGACAGGAGUGCAUUAAAAGGUCCAGUUCCUCUCUCUGUCUGGUUUGGGAAUCCUCCUAUUCCAGGAUGGUAGAGGGGAAGCGAUUGAGAUAUAGUUAGAUGCCUCAGACUUAUCUGUUGUCUGUAGACAGAUAUUUUGUUCUACAUGGCCCAAUUCCAGACAAAUAAAAUAUUUUUCUUCAGCUUGAUAACCCCAUAUGACAGGACAUCCAUGAAUAUCUGUUACUCUAAAGGGAAGUGAAGAUUAGAGGGCUCAGCCAUAUGCAAAUGUAUGUGUGCAGAGGAAGUUUUUAACGCCAGCUCUUUGUCUGUUUAAGUCAGCAUGGCAUCACUGACUUCAAGAAAAUCAUGCCAAUUUACCAUAGCUAAGGGUUCAUUAUCUAGUGCCAUAUUGAAAUGAAUUUUUCCACCCACAACUCAGGUGUCUAGGUCACCUAUCAAACUAGGAAAAAGGAAUGUCUUCCUCUUAAAGGGUGGCUCUGAAUGUAAACCUGACCUUGCUGCGCCAAACUUUUGCGCAAUGGAUCCUAUUCCUGUCCCUUUGUCAGAUCUGAGGGGACCUACUCAACUUUGUGGGAUAUAGCAGGCACCUAAAGCCAAGGGUAUUGACUUAUCCCAUGAUGAAUGUUUUUGAGUGGAAAUUAUGUUAAAGCAUCUCUUUGGUCAAAGAACAUAAAAAUAUACAUCAGCCAAAGAGAGACCCAAUCUCAUAGCCUCUCAUCACAUGAAUAAUCAUGCUGAAACCUGCAGAGUUCUGUAAAAUGGCCUACUGGAUAAAAACCAUUAUGUUUAAUAAAAUUUACACAAGGUUUUUUUUUUUCCCAUUGAGGAAGAACAAUAGAAUACACCUAAUUCAUUUCAGUUUUAAAUAAAAGAAUGACUCAGAAGCCACAGACUGAUUAGCAAACAGGAAAUGGAGAAAGACCUCUGAGUUGUAACUUUGAGGCAAUAUUCUACUGUAAUAUCUUUGAAAAAUAAUGGAAACACACUUUAAUAUUAACGUGUCAUUGUACAGUAAAAGGAUGUAGAGAGAAAAGUGAGCACUAUCAAUGAAAUUUAUCUAAUGACAUUUUAUUGUUGUCACAGACUAGAAAUCCAGAAAUUCAGCCCACAAAAGAAAAAUAUUCCAGAAUUUCUUACUAAAUUAUGCAGUUGCAACAAUUUUAUAGAUUAUAUUAUGGAGUAAAAAAAUGUUCAUUUUCAAAUUUAAAAACUCAAUAUUCAUAACAGCUCUGUUUUGUGAGCUUGCCUUGCUGCAAGAAUGAAUUUCAGCAGUGAUCUUGUCAAACAGGAUGCGCAAUACUUUUCACUGUGCUGUUAAAACUCCCUACCACUACAACACAGACAUGUAAGAAGUGUAAGUUAGGAUCGAAUACAAAGCUUUUAAACCCUACAUUGGCUUAAGUUUAUCUUUAUUGAAAUACAACAUUUGUUUUAUAAAACAACAAUUAGUGGUCUAAUAUAAUUUAAAUUGCUGCCUCCAAAUAAGAUGCUAAAAGAAAAAUAUAUUUUCCCAUUGCGAUAGUGAAUAAAAACCAGAUCUCAAAAUAAGAACAAAUGGAAGUAUUAUCCCAUGAGAAUGAGCCUUCUGAAUCGAUCUAUUAUUUCGCAGCUUGAAAUGUGCCACUAUUGUACUUCUACUUGAUUAUGAGUCUUGUUAUCACUUCCUCCAGUUGAUCCAAAUUGAGCGCUUCUGACAUUUGCAAAGUUACUUGCAUAUUCCACUGCACAGCAGGGAAAACCUUGCUAAUGAAGAAAUAACAAGCAGAAGAAGUGAAUAAAUAUUUAGCUGAUGGUAAGGAGUUACAUUUGCUAGUAUUUAAAUGCUGAAAAAAACCCAAAACCAAACAACUCGAACCACAGUAACAUGCUUGUUCAUGUCCUCUAAAAAAGGGUGCUAGUGGUGUGUUUUUCUCUGUGCCACAGGGCACUUUCAUUUCCUGAUUCUAUUAUACACUAAGUGGGCACCUGAACCUGCCAAUGAACUUGUUCUAUUGUGUUUUUCUAUUUUUAAUCCAAAAGGAGUAAACACAUUUCUCAUCAGAUGUGUCACACACUGCUCUACAUCGGUGAGAUUUAUGAAGGUGUCACCGAGUUAUUACAGAGCCAUUCAUUUAUAAAUAGUUGUCCAUUCUUCAGGAAAUCAUAAAUGAUAGGAGUAUUGCCACCAUUUCACAAAAUCUGUAUUGUAAGAAGGAUGUCCAUUAGUGAUUAUUUUUGACUGCACUACACAGGUGUAAUUUGUUUUUUAUCCCUCUUCCCUUACUCCAAGGCUUUUUUUCUACUUUAUGAUUAUGUUCAACCAGAUUCCUGCACUGGAUGGUCAACAUUAGUAGGGCAAGGAACAUAACAACUAUUUCAGUAGUCAUCUUUACAUAAAAAAUAGCACUUAUGAAAUUUUCUCUUUAACCAGGCAGGCUUGCAGACCCUGAGUCAGCUCUCCUGUUCUGUAUAUAUUUUUUUAAUGGUCUUCAGAAGUUGAUGUAGAGGUACACUUAACAGAUGCUCUUCUUAAAACAUCUACCACAGCUGCCCAGGAGUGGAUAUGAAUGCUGCUGAGCCAUAUGACAAUGACAUCUCUUAAAAUCUCAUGUCAGAUUUCUUACUAGUGAAGAAUCUUUAAUGCAUCAUUAGUGACAUUUUAAACUAUCUUGAGAGAAAAACUUCUUUGCCAAUCAUAAGGAAAACUUGCCUGAUAGGAGAAUUGCUCCAGAGACAUGCGAAUCAAAGGCAAAUUAUAGAGAAAAAUAUAGAUAUAUUGAAGGGUUCUGGUAAAGGAAAAAAAAAGUAAAGAGAAAGAAAAAUCCAAAAAAUCAGCAUCCUCUAAAUAUACACUUCUUUCAAUUUUCAUAUGUGAUAUUAUGGCAAUGUAAUUAGGUCACAUUAAAAAAGACUGGAGCAUAUUUUCUGGCUUAUUAAUCUUUCUUUAAUGUUCAUUUGGCACAUGACACAUCCUGUCAGAUUUUUCAUUAUUGUAAUAUUUCAAAUAUAAUUUUUACAAUCACCAGUACCCAAACCCAGAAGAAAAAUAUUUGCUUAGUGUGUUUGAUGUCACUGGAUCUUGAAUAUGUCACCUGACCAUGUAAACUAAAAUGAAGAGUCACUUUCCACACUGUAGAUUUUUGUUUUGUUUUGUUUUCAGUUUUUUUUUUUGCUGUUUUUGAUUGUGUGUGUUCAUGUGCUUAAUUUGCUGUGAAUGAAUGAGAGAAAACUCAGAAAAAAAUCCAAAACCCCUUACCUUUGCAGAUAUCAUCUAAUUUCCUUUUAAAAAUAGAAUAAUGGGAUGGUUUGAAGGCUUUGAACUCUUCAAAUUUGAUUUUAAUUUGAUAUAGAGGGUAACAAUGCUAUCUUUGUCAUUCUCUUCUAUGUCCUCAGCAGAGUUAUGAUUUUGUUCUGACAGCAGGAGCUUUGUUCCACUUUUGAAGUUCUUUUUCACGCAUAUAGAACAUUGUGUUAGAAAAACAAAUGCCUUCACUCUGGCACCAACUUUAACAGCCAAGAAAUAACAUGAAAAAUCCAUGUACAGACUCCAAACAGCAAAUGGGAUUGAUUGACAUAUGUUUAAAAUAGAUCACUUUCUGCACUUUAACUGAUUUCCAUGCUCAAUCUUUGGAGUCUAAGAAGAACACAGGAGUGUAAAGUCUUCCUGGGCUCCAAAAUGAGGAUUGUGCCUGCAUGUGUGGUGUAUUAGAUGAGAACUUCCUACUCACCUUUGCAAGGGAUUACCCUUAGAUACAGAAGGAUUCUUGCUUCUUAUGCUGAGCUAUGUUUACAAACCACUGCAAAAAUAUGUGUUGGUAAAUAUACUUCAAAGCUGUAAAAGUGCUCUGUUGAUCUCUAAACUUUUAGGGGGACAGAGGUUCCACAGACUGAUAGCACAACUCAGCUCAAAAACCUAACACAGCCAAAUGAAUUUAAUGAAAGGCAAGAGGGGAAUUUUUUUAUGCUUCAUCCACUCUCCAUCAUGAAGCCAUGCUCCUCUCCACAUCUUCCCACUGCUCCUGCUUAUUGCAGAAAGUGUAGGUCUCUUUUUCUCUGCUGCAGUGCUGUGUCCCUGUGUUAUCAGUUAUUUGCUUCCCUCCAUCUCCACCUUCAUACUUAGGUGUAAAUACACAUUUUUAUUCUUCUCCCUUUCGUGCAUUUUUAUUUAUACUGAUCACCAAUAAAGUGGUUUCCCAGAUUUAUGAAUGAAAAUAUUACCUUUUCUUUGAUUGUGUCCCUCUUAAAACACCCAUCUCCAGCCCUAUCUACCAGAGCUGUUAUUCAUCCACUGAAAAAACAAAUCAGACAAUUCUGAUGGAAAUGUGCAGUCACAUUUCAGCUGUUGGUCAGGAUCAAAGGGAGAAAUCCUAAUACACUUGUCUCUCUUUUUUCUGUCUUUUUUUACUCUGCUUUGAAGACAAGAAGGCAAAACUCCAAUAAAUACACCAGAGAAAAAGAAACCAAACAAACCCACAAGGAUUUCUAAGCAUCACUGCAUUAAAAAAACUUUUGCAACUGUACUGAGGCAGAAGCAGAAAUGGAGGCUGUACAAAAUAACUACAGGUUGUGUCCAUAUGUGUAAAAAAAGGGAAGAGCACAUAUUUUGUGUUGCAAUGUGGCCCCAGAGGAUACUGCAUCACCGUCUCAGACUCUGUGUAUGACUCACACACUGUUUAUGCACAUCUGAACUGUAUACAUUUUAAUUUAUUGAGGAAGUUAACCAUACAGCCUACUGGAAAAGAAAAAGUCCAUUAUAAGAAACUGGGACUUGAAGAGCACUGGGACAGAGUCUGAGCAGACAGCUGACAAGAUAAUCGAGUGUUUGGUUCCAUAUGUCAUCCAAAAUUCAGGUGCUUAGGGCUCUAUAUAAAGUUAUGUUCUGGAGAAGUAAUAUAUACUGUAAAUAAAUCAAGGCAGGAUGAAUUAUUUAGGGUUUUUUUUCCUGAUAUUUAGCACAUUCACCAUCAAAUUUAGUGGAAGCAGCACUUUCUUAUCUUGGAAAAAAACUUGACUCUUCUCUAGCUCAGCUGUGAGACUAAUUGUAUCUGAAUUGUAUCCUAUAUAUAUAUAUGAUAUAUAGGAUAUUGUAUCCUAUAUAUAGGAUGCCAUGGACCGUUUGAACCCCUUUUUCCUCCUUGUGAUUUGAGGGGUCCGUGGGGGAGAGGGGUUGAUGAUAUCAUACUGCCAUCUGGUGACCACUGCCAGAAAAGUUAACCUCGAGGAGGAAACCCCAAAUCCCAAGUGAAGGAUUUAACUUGUAAGUGGGUGGGGAAGAGGCGAGAGAAAAAGGGCCAGGCAGCCUCCAGGACAGGGACACAUCGACAGCCGCCUCUGCCUCCCAGCCCGGAGCCCGGGCUGCCUCUCCUUGCCCACAGCUCCGUACAGAGCUGCUGUACAGGCUUGGCUUCAAAUUUAAUUAUCAGGAGAGCUCAUUCAUUCACUUACUAAGAGAACCUGAAUAUUCAGAGCAUAGGGUUUCUCUCUUUCUUUUUUUUUUUUUUUCUUUUUUUUUUUUUCUUUUAAGAGAGGCUUAAAUACAGUUUCCAUGGCAGUUAAUCCAACUUUGACCCAAAUUAAAUUUCAACGUCUAAAAAUUCAUUCAACCAGGGAAGGACAAUGCUUAGCCCUAUCUGAACGAGGCACAAGGCUGUGUGAGAACAUUUCUUCUCCCCUGUUUUGCUCUUUGCAGCAGGACCCUCUAUAAUUGUGAAGUCACUUGGUGCUGCUGAAACCCUCGCCGUGGUGCCGGCAGCAGCCCAGUUACCUUCCCAGGGAUCCUGUUCCUGCACGCUCAGGGCAUAAGGAUUUGGUGGCAUAUUGCAUCCUCACAAGGCAGAGCUAGGAAAGGCAACCAUUCAAAAAUAUCUUAUUUCAAAAUGAAGAUUAAUCCAUUUUGUGUCCUUCUGAGGAAAUAAUAUUCUCAUUGAUGCUCACUCUCAUAAAAUACUAUUUUAUGACACUAUCAGUACAAAACAAGUAAUUUAGGUAUUAUAGCAGUAUUUUAGAUGAUACCUACUAUCAAAGAUAGUAUCAAAGACUCUCUCACCAUAAUGGUGCUGAAGCACAAUAGAGCUUUUAUAAUAUAAAAGAACUUUCCCUACCUGUUAUCAUGCUGAUGGGAACACAGUCCCUGUUUCAGUUCUGCCCAUAGUGGCAAAUUACUUUUAACAUACUCUAUAUUUCAGUGAUAUCUAGUUAAGAUUUCAUUAUGACAUUUCAGUAUAAAAUAUAAUGUACAUUUCUACAAUGUUUUCCUAAAACAUUACCGUGGGUGAGAUUUUUCACAUUAACCACAAUUGCAGAAAUGACUGAUGUUUAAAUCUGAAGGCAAUUUUAGUCAUUAUUAAACUUCAUUAUAAAAUAAAGUACGUGGGUGGAAUUGUGGUUUGAUGCUUUUGUAAUUUGCUCUACCUUUUCAAUGUACUUUUCAGUUACAUUAACUGAAUCAUUUUGUCUUAUAGAUGCAAAGAUGAAGCAGAAGAACAAAAACAUGCCCAUUAACUGAAGCAGUGCAAAUGUGCAUAGUUAAUGGAAACCAUUUUGACAUUUUGUAUUUGAUUCCAUGGUGUGUCUACUCAAACAAUUUCAAUGGCAUAUUAGAACAAAAUGCUACAUUGUGCUCUUCACUAAGAAUGCAAGUAAUAGUCUUCAAAAAUUACCUUUCGACUGAAAGUAUUAUCUGUUGGAAAUGAAAUGUUUUACAUUAUGAAAGGCUAAUAGCAAUAAGGGGGAGCAAUGGGCUGCAGUGAGAAUUGAGGCAAAGAGGGUUUUUUGACCCUGUGUUUUCCCAAAUGCUUAUGUUCUUUCGCGUUAUGACAGAAUUGCUUAGAUAGUGACAUAAACUCAUCUGUUCAAUGGCAAUUAUUUCACCAUGCUACAAUUAAAAGCUUCUUAUGCAAGA